GGUUUAAAACACUAAUGCUGACUGAAGGAAAGAGUUCAAUUUAGGGUUUAGAACCCUAAUGCUGACUGAAGAAAAAGUUCAGUUUAGGGUUUAAAACCCUAAUGCUGACUGAAGGGAAAACGUUCAGUUUAGGGUUUAAAACCCUAAUGCUGACUAAAGGGAAGAGUUCAGUUUAGGGUUUAAAACCCUAAUGCUGACUAAAUGGAAGAGUUCAGUUUAGGGUUUAAAACCCUAAUGCUGACUAAAUGGAAAGAGUUCAAUUUAGGGUUUAAAACCCUAAUGUUGACUGAAGAAAAAAGUUCAUUUUAGCGUUUAAAACCCUAAUGCUGACUGAAGGGAAAAAGUUCAGUUUAGGGUUCAAAACCCUAAUGCUGACUAAAGGAAAGAGUACAGUUUAGGGUUUAAAAUCCUAAUGCUGACUGAAUGGAAAAAGUUCAGUUUGGGUUUAAAACCCUAAUGCUGACUGAAUGGAAAAAGUUCAGUUUAGGGUUUAAAACCCUAAUGCUGACUGAAUGGAAAAAGUUCAGUAUAAGGUUUAAA
rnacentral:lncRNA from 1 species